GACGAACGCUGGCGGCGCGCUUAACACAUGCAAGUCGAGCGAGAACCUGGCCUUCGGGCCUGGGGAAAGCGGCGAACGGGUGAGUAACACGUGGGUAACCCACCCUUGGUACUGGGAUAGCCCGGGGAAACCCGGAUUAAUACCGGAUGGCCAAACAGCUCUUCGGGGCGGUUGGGAAAGGUAGCUUCGGCCUCCGACCAAACACGGGCCCGCGGCGGAUUAGAUUGUUGGUGGGGUAACGGCCUACCAAGGCGACGAUCCGGCGCUGGUCUGAGAGGACAAUCAGCCACACUGGGACUGAGACACGGCCCAGACUCCUACGGGAGGCAGCAGUGGGGAAUCUUGCGCAAUGGGCGAAAGCCUGACGCAGCGACGCCGCGUGGGGGAAGAAGGCUUUCGGGUUGUAAACCCCUUUCAGGAAGGACGAAGCCACUCGGGUGAAUAGCCCAGAGGGUGACGGUACUUCCAGAAGAAGCCCCGGCUAACUACGUGCCAGCAGCCGCCGUAGAAC
rnacentral:rRNA from 1 species